rnacentral:tRNA from 1 species
UUAAUUGAAACCAAAAUAGAGGUAUAUUAUUGUUAAUAAUAUCAUUGAAUAUGAUUUCCAAUUAAG